CAGUAGCCACGGUAAUACAGAGGGUGCGAGCGUUAAUCGGAUUUACUGGGCGUAAAGCGUGCGUAGGCGGCUUCUUAAGUCGGAUGUGAAAUCCCUGAGCUUAACUUAGGAAUUGCAUUCGAUACUGGAAAGCUAGAGUAUGGGAGAGGAUGGUAGAAUUCCAGGUGUAGCGGUGAAAUGCGUAGAGAUCUGGAGGAAUACCGAUGGCGAAGGCAGCCAUCUGGCCUAAUACUGACGCUGAGGUACGAAAGCAUGGGGAGCAAACAGGAUUAGAUACCCCCGUAGUCCCUGUCUCUUAUAC
rnacentral:rRNA from 1 species